rnacentral:rRNA from 1 species
CGUUCUAUGUUGCCAGCACGUAAUGGUGGGAACUCAUGGGAUACUGCCGGGGUCAACUCGGAGGAAGGUGGGGGAUGACGUCAAAUCAUCAUGCCCCUUAUGUCUUGGGCUUCACGCAUGCUACAAUGGCCGGUACAAAGGGCUGCAAUACCGUAAGGUGGAGCGAAUCCCAAAAAGCCGGUCCCAGUUCGGAUUGAGGUCUGCAACUCGACCUCAUGAAGUCGGAGUCGCUAGUAAUCGCAGAUCAGCAACGCUGCGGUGAAUACGUUCCCGGGUCUU